rnacentral:rRNA from 1 species
GAUGAACGCUAGCGAUAGGCUUAACACAUGCAAGUCGAGGGGCAGCAUGGUCUUAGCUUGCUAAGGCUGAUGGCGACCGGCGCACGGGUGCGUAACGCGUAUGCAACUUGCCUCACAGAGGGGGAUAACCCGUCGAAAGACGGACUAAUACCGCGUACACUCUAUGUUGGGCAUCCAAUGUAGAGGAAAUGAAAUUCGCUGUGAGAUAGGCAUGCGUCCCAUUAGCUAGUUGGUGAGGUAACGGCUCACCAAGGCGACGAUGGGUAGGGGAACUGAGAGGUUGAACCCCCGCACUGGUACUGAGACACGGACCAGACUCCUACGAGAGGCAGCAGUGAGGAAUAUUAGGCAAUGGGCGAGAGCCUGAACCAGCCAAGUCGCGUGAAGGAUGACUGUCUUAUGGAUUGUAAACUUCUUUUAUACGGGAAUAACAAGAGUACCGUGUGGCUCCCUGCAUGUACCGGAUGAAUAAGCAUCGGCUAACUCCGUG